GGUGUCUCUUAUUCAGUCUCACAGGUUCACUUGUCCCGGCUUGCAGGAAUGUAGCCCCAUCGGGCCAGGUUCGUUUCACUGAGCCCUGGGUCUGAGGGCGAAGCCCUGCUGUGGACCUUCUGAUGAACAUAAAUGCAUCCUGACCACAACCAGCCAAGAGCCCUCCCUGGAUCCUGCCAGCUCUGUGGUCCCUGAUGAAGAUGUAGCUCUCAGCCCUGAUGAUGCAGCUCCCGUGCCCUGCCUGCCUGCCUGCCGCUCAACUCCCUAUCAUACUGUUCAUAGACUUACCCUCUGAAACUACAGCCAAUCCUCCAAUUAAAUGUUUUCUUCUUUAAGUUGUCAUGGUGUCUCUUCACAGCAACGGAACAGUAACUAAAAGACUGUGCCCCCCACUCCCGAGUGCUCUCUGGCUACUCCAUCUUCCCACAGCCCCACAAUCCAGUACUCCACGGUCCCCCUCCUCACACUUCCGGAUGGAGGCCCGAUGUUCUUGCAUCUUGGACUGCCUGGCCCUGUCCACUGUUUUCCCAGUGCCCUCAAGAGAUGCCCCAGGCGUUGAUGGUUAUUGCAGGCUGGGCACGAACCAACCGCCAGCACAGGGAGGCAGGGCCUCAAGGCACAGGGAGUUAUCAGAAUAGUAUUUAUUGAUAUGCUCAGUGCUACCUUGUUAAUACUUCGUCACGUGGCGCGUGGCUGAGGUAAUAGGGGCGGGGCCAGUGGGGCCUGGACUCCCACGGGAAGCGGUCCAGCCAGCAGCUGGGGACCCGGGGGAAGGGGGUGUGGUUAUUGCGUUGUAUUCUUUCCCUCGUCUGCACCCUGGCCUACGCCUGCUCUCGCCCACUGCUCACAUGGGUGCCGCUCGCUCGCUCGCUCGCUCGUUCGUUCGCUCGCACACUCACACAUACUCAGGCUCACUCACAACACAUUUGCCCCCUGCUUGUUCGCGAGCUUACUUGCACACGGGCACUGCACCUCUCUGGCAAACUCAAUCACUCAGGCAGGUGCUUGUACCCACACCUGCUCACUUGGCACUUUUUACAUCCGCCUCUGCUCAGGCCACUCACACACAUCAUCCUCUGGUUUAAAUGCACCCUCAUUCUCCUGAUGAUAAAUAAGCUCAGCACUUACAGUAAUCAUAGGAAAAAUAAAGUGUGUGUCAGGCUACGCGGAGAAAGUGCAUGUUGAUUCGGACCUGGGGCAGCCCUCGGUUCCCCCCCGCCCCCAAGGCAUCAGGUCCCUUAAGUGAGUGACCCCUGGGGGUCUGUCCUGAGGCCAGUGCCACCUUCCCCAGCACCUUCCUCACUUCCCCUAGGCUGGGCCCAACUGGGUAUGCUGAGUUGUGUCAGCCCACAACCAAACCCACUAAAAAAAAUAAACUUUUCUUCAUCUUUCAGCCCAGCAGCACACUGUGGAGGCGCCUGGUGCUGGGGUGGGCACCCUAUCCCACCUUGCACCCAAGCCCCAGCCUGCACUUGUGGAUGCCAUGGUGAGCCAGGUGGAAGGGGUGCUGGGCCCCGUGGCAUGCAGACAGGAGGCUGGGGUGUGUGUGGGCAGUACCGGGUGAACAGAGUUCGAUCCUACCCAAGCCUAGGCUCAGCUGGGCCAUCCCUGGCUCAUGCAGAGAGUUUUUGGUGGCCUGGGAGGCCCUGCCCCUCAAAACUCCACAGUACUCACAACUGUUCUCGGCUCCUCGAAGGUGGCGAUGAGGAUCUGCUGGGGCGGGGGUAUGCUGAGGAGGUCGCCCAUGUCUGAGGGGGCACAGGGGCCUCCUUCCUCCUCUUCCCGGGCCUCAUACAGCGUGCUGAUGUGGAGCAGGGGGUGAGUGGCGUUCCGGCUCAGGAUGGUGAGAGGGUCAGCCUUGCCCAGACUGCCUGGUGACAGGGAAGCAGCGGCGGGGGCUGCGGGGGGUGAGCAGACAUGGAAUGAUCCCCCAGAUGGGAGCCCUGGCAGGGCAGGCUCUGUGGGGUACGGGAUUUCCUUCUCGGGGAGUGGAGCAUCUGA
rnacentral:lncRNA from 1 species